GGGGCCGACAUGGAUUCGACAGCGGCUUCGUGGAACGUGUAAGCAUGUCGAGCGUGAGGUGCGGCUCGUAUCCCAGUGCCUCAAAGCCGUAACUGGCAACGUAGAUUACGCUCUCGCAGCCUAAUAGCCUCAGGCUACAGGCUUUAUCCGGGUGAACAACAGUAGCCCGGACGAGUGCCCCUCGGGGAGGCCCGUCCACCUCCUUCCCGGCCCAGGGGUAUCACCAUGGAGGACUGGCCGGUGCGGUGGUCCGAAGCAUCGGUAAGACAACAGGACCUAAGCCGGAACUAGGGUGCCGAUCCCCAGGUCCCGGUCGAAAACCAAUGAACGGCUAAGCAUGUAGAAAGCCCGCUCUUCGGUCGUUUGGACGAGGGUUCGAUCCCCUCCGGCUCCACCU
rnacentral:tmRNA from 1 species